AGAGUUUGAUCAUGGCUCAGAACGAACGCUGGCGGCGUGCCUAACACAUGCAAGUCGAGCGCGAAUGGAGCAAUCCUAGUAGAGCGGCGCACGGGUGCGUAACACGUGGGUAAUCUGCCCAAAAGCCCGGGACAACCUGCCGAAAGGCUGGCUAAUACCGGAUAAGCCCACAGGAUCUUUGGAUCUCGUGGGAAAAGGUGGCCUCUGUAUACAAGCUAUCACUUUUGGAUGAGCCCGCGGCCCAUCAGUUAGUUGGCGGGGUAACGGCCCACCAAGACUACGACGGGUAGCUGGUCUGAGAGGACGAUCAGCCACACUGGAACUGAGACACGGUCCAGACUCCUACGGGAGGCAGCAGUGGGGAAUUUUGCACAAUGGGCGAAAGCCUGAUGCAGCAACGCCGCGUGUGUGAUGAAGGUCUUCGGAUUGUAAAGCACUUUCGACCGGGACGAAACUCCUGAAUCUAACAUAUUCAGGGCUGACGGUACCGGGAGAAGAAGCACCGGCUAACUCUUGUGCCAGCAGCCGCGGUA
rnacentral:rRNA from 1 species